GUGAAAAUGUGUUUUAUGAAUUAAUAUAUUGAUGAUUUUUAAUUGUAUGAUUGUUAGUAGCAAAAGUAGCACCGGAUACGUCAUCAAAGAAGGGAAAAGAGAAAGUGAACGAAGAUAUCGAUUAAAUUCGAUAAAUAGUGGCUAGGUACGAAAGUAUAAGGACUCAGCAUACAAGCCGAUCCCCAAACUCAAAUUGGUGAAGUUUCUAUCUUUUUGGAAAAUGGCAUUGUACCUAGGAUGUCUUUUGGUCAUUUUGAAAGUAUCUAAGUUGUUAAGUGAUAUUUUGGUAUGUUUUGUAAAUGUUACCAAAACCUUAAGUAUGGUAUGUUUUGAUAUGUUAGUGAAGAGUAAUAAGAGGAAGUGUUGGUAAAUAUUGUAGAGAGAAGAAAUGAAGAUGUUAUAAACUUAGUUAUCAA